rnacentral:lncRNA from 1 species
UAGGAUUUGAUUUAGGGUUAAGAUUUAGGAUUUGCUCAGGAUUUGAUUAGAAUUUAUUUAAACUUUGAUAAGAUUUGAGUAGGAUUUAGGAUUUUAUUGGUAUUUGGUUUAAAAUUAGACUUUAGGAUUUGAUUAGGAUUUGGCAUAGAAUUAAGAUUUAAGAUUUAAAUUAGAUUUCAUUAAAAUUUAUUUAAGAUUUAAGAUUUCAUUAAAGUUUGGUUGAAAUUGGUUUAGAAUUUUAUUAAAUUUUGUUAAAGGUCAUAUUAAGAUUU